rnacentral:rRNA from 1 species
AUGCAGGGUUCUCACCCGGAGUUUGAGCACAUCCCUACAAUAAGACGACAGCCGACCACCACCACCAUCGAACCCUUCAAAAGACGAAGAAGCACGACAAGCCGCCAGAGCCAACCGCACCUUGCGGAGACCACCGACAACCAAACGUCAGCACUAGGCGCCAGAUCCAUCAACGGCCGCCGGAGCGCAGGCCACCAUGCCCUUCCGAGCACCAUGCCGGCAAGGAGCAGAGGAGCAAUGCCCGAGGCCAGGAACCACCAUGGUCCGGGCUGCAGCCAUACAUCAGGUGUGCCAACACGCCCCACGCGCGCCACCGCACAUCCGUCGGAGACCAAAACCGAAGCGCCGCCACGCCAACAGAAAGCAGUGAGAUCAAGACCGGCUGUAGCAGAAUCGCCACCACCCCCCACCACCUCCACAAGCACCGCCAUCCAUCUCUGCCCUAAGUCGGACGACCAUGGGCCGAUCGAAUCAUCACAUCAGCACAUCCGCAGGUCAGCCUCGCCACAGCGCCAAAACACCACACCACCGCCACCACUUGCCGGAACGACCGCAGUCCCCCAACCACCACCCUCGCCGGCCGGAGACCCGCACGGUCCAGAUCUGGUUGCCCGAACAGCCGCCACAUGGAGCCAGGAGCACUCACGACCAUCAUGCGAGGAGGGGCGAUGCGGGAGCAGCCGGAAGGUGCCGCACCCAGGCACGGGCGCCGGCCAACGAGCCGAGUCGUCACCCGCACGCGCUGGCCCAGAUCGGGCCUGCACCAUUGCCACGCAGAUGCAUCCCACCCGCGCAGCCACAGCUCCACCUCGCGCCAUGGCCGACGCCCCGAGCCGCCCCCUCCCGCCAGAGGGGAAGCCGCCGCCACCGCCCGCCUCCGAGCGGCCAGAUCUAGCACGGCCCGUCGCCCUCCUCUGGCAACGAGAUGGCCGCGAGGAUCAGCAGUUAAAGCAGCAGUGGCAAGGCAGCAGCACAAGCAGAGCAGCGGCACAACGGCAGCAUCAGGCGCGGCAGCAAAAGCAGCAGUAUGGGCAGCCGAGCGAGCGGCGUGACGGGGGCACGCGGCCGGCGCAGCACGCCCAAGCGGACGCGGCCAGGGGAAUAGGGAAUGUCUUGGGCGCGCGGGCACGGCAGGGAGGAGCCCAAGUCGCGGGCUAG